rfam:Bacillus clausii KSM-K16 DNA, complete genome.
ACCCUCUUUAAACGCAGUCCAGUGAGGCUGGCAAGAGGACCGAAACGCACGCUGUUUUUUGCCUGCGCUUCUUUCUUGCCGCCUCCUGUGCUUGCACAGGAGGUUUUUUAUU